rnacentral:lncRNA from 1 species
GUUGGUCAAAAAGUAUUGAAUAUUUAUGCCUCCACAUCUUCUCAUUCCUUCAGUUUAUGGCUUUGAUGCCACCUACCCUGGGAUAUUUCUCCUGACCUCCCAGGUUAAGGACCUCCCUUGUUUAUGUACUUAUGGCCUCAUUUCGUUCUCCACAACACAAAGGAAAAUUAUAUCAAAUAAUCUAAUUACUUAUCUAGUAUUUGUAUCCCAGGAGAAUAUGUAAUUUCCCUAACUCUGUUCCCAACUCAGCAAUAGGCCCCAGUAUUGGUGAAGCAGAUGCCUGGUCAUAUCAUCCAUUCUGGAUAUGCCACCACACUUAAGAACCACAUCAGGGGAGUUGUAGAAGAACUAGAAGCCUGGAAUGAAAGGAGAAACAAGACACAGUGGGCGGUGAGU